GUCGAACGGUAGCAGGAAGUGCUUGCACUUUGCUGACGAGUGGCGGACGGGUGAGUAAUACUUAGGAACAUGCCUUUGUGUGGGGGAUAACCAUUGGAAACGAUGGCUAAUACCGCAUAAUGUCUUUGGACCAAAGAGGGCUUUCGGGCUCUCGCGCAAAGAGUGGCCUAAGUGAGAUUAGCUUGUUGGUGAGGUAAAGGCUCACCAAGGCGACGAUCUCUAGCUGUUCUGAGAGGAAGAUCAGCCACACUGGGACUGAGACACGGCCCAGACUCCUACGGGAGGCAGCAGUGGGGAAUAUUGCACAAUGGGGGCAACCCUGAUGCAGCCAUGCCGCGUGUGUGAAGAAGGCCUUCGGGUUGUAAAGCACUUUCAGUUGUGAGGAAAGGUUGGUGGUUAAUACCCAUCAGCUGUGACGUUAGCAACAGAAGAAGCACCGGCUAACUCCGUGCCAGCAGCCGCGGUAAUACGGAGGGUGCGAGCGUUAAUCGGAAUUACUGGGCGUAAAGCGCACGCAGGCGGUUAUAUAAGCUAGAUGUGAAAGCCCCGGGCUCAACCUGGGAAUAGCAUUUAGAACUGUAUGACUAGAGUCUUGGAGAGGGGAGUGGAAUUCCAGGUGUAGCGGUG
rnacentral:rRNA from 1 species